UCUAAUAUGGCAGAAAAGUGCAUUGGAUUUAAGACCCAAUAAUAAAGCAAAAGCUUUUUUUAGAA
rnacentral:tRNA from 1 species